rnacentral:rRNA from 1 species
GAUGAACGCUAGCGGCAGGCCUAACACAUGCAAGUCGAGGGGUAGGGUUAGCUUGCUAACUUGAGACCGGCGCACGGGUGCGUAACGCGUAUGCAAUCUACCUUGUACAGAGGGAUAGCCCAGAGAAAUUUGGAUUAAUACCUCAUAGUAUCUUUACCUGGCAUCGGGUAAUUAUUAAAGUUCCAACGGUACAAGAUGAGCAUGCGUCCCAUUAGUUAGUUGGUAAGGUAACGGCUUACCAAGACAAUGAUGGGUAGGGGUCCUGAGAGGGAGAUCCCCCACACUGGUACUGAGACACGGACCAGACUCCUACGGGAGGCAGCAGUGAGGAAUAUUGGUCAAUGGACGCAAGUCUGAACCAGCCAUGCCGCGUGCAGGAAGACGGUCCUAUGGAUUGUAAACUGCUUUUAUACAGGAAGAAACAACUCUACGUGUAGAGUCUUGACGGUACUGUAGGAAUAAGGAUCGGCUAACUCCGUGCCAGCAGCCG